AUGGCAUUUACGUCGAUCUAAACGUUUAGGAAUCAAUUCUAAACGUGUUCUUAAAUUAGUUUCGUUCAAAAUGUGUCGGACGUUUUGAAUCUUUCAUUAUGAUUAAAAAUUUGAGUUUCUUUUUAAUCUUAAAUUAUGUAAUAAAUGGUUUAGAAAAGAUAAAAAAAAAUUGUUUUUAGUAUUAUAUUGUGGCUAAUGAAGCAGUUAAAAAGUCCUAUUGUUAUGAGGAUUGCAAAAACCCAUUAGUACUUGCAAAGUCUCCUUUUCUGUAAGCCCGAAAAUCGAGUUCUAAAAUACCAUUAUUCACAUAACUACUAUAUCAAAGCACAAACUAAUGGAUUGAUCAAAAAAGAGAUUGUAUGACUUCGGUAUCCGCAAUACAGUAUCGUGUAUUGAAUUCCAUCUUAGAAUGGCUCCCUUCCGUAUAGGUGGAAAUAGGAAUGAUUAUGUCCUUUUUUCUAAUUCUUAAAACGAAGAGGCUUAAUCGGUUCAAACAAAGAUGACGAUGAUCAUUAUGGAACCGAUCAUGAUGACGAAUACGAUAAUGCAUAUAAUAAUAAAUAAAACGAUUUUACUUGUAUCUUAGACUUAUAUAAAUAAAAAAUUAUCUGUUUAA